rnacentral:rRNA from 1 species
GUUUGAUCCUGGCUCAGAUUGAACGCUGGCGGCAUGCCUUACACAUGCAAGUCGAACGGUAACAGGGAGCUUGCUCCGCUGACGAGUGGCGAACGGGUGAGUAAUACAUCGGAACGUGCCCAGUAAUGGGGGAUAGCUCGGCGAAAGCCGGAUUAAUACCGCAUACGCCCUGAGGGGGAAAGUGGGGGACCGCAAGGCCUCACGUUAUUGGAGCGGCCGAUGGCUGAUUAGCUAGUUGGUAGGGUAAAGGCCUACCAAGGCGACGAUCAGUAGCUGGUCUGAGAGGACGAUCAGCCACACUGGGACUGAGA